rnacentral:rRNA from 1 species
UACGUAGGGGGCAAGCGUUGUCCGGAUUUAUUGGGCGUAAAGAGCUCGUAGGCGGUCUGUCGCGUCGAUCGUGAAACUUGGGGCUUAACCCUGAGCUUGCGGUCGAUACGGGCAUGACUGGAGUUCGGCAGGGGAGACUGGAAUUCCUGGUGUAGCGGUGAAAUGCGCAGAUAUCAGGAGGAACACCGGUGGCGAAGGCGGUCUCUGGGCCUUACCUGACGCUGAGGAGCGAAAGCGUGGGGAGCGAACAGG